AUUGAACGCUGGCGGCAGGCCUAACACAUGCAAGUCGAGCGGAUGAAGGGAGCUUGCUCCUGGAUUCAGCGGCGGACGGGUGAGUAAUGCCUAGGAAUCUGCCUGGUAGUGGGGGAUAACGUCCGGAAACGGGCGCUAAUACCGCAUACGUCCUGAGGGAGAAAGUGGGGGAUCUUCGGACCUCACGCUAUCAGAUGAGCCUAGGUCGGAUUAGCUAGUUGGUGGGGUAAAGGCCUACCAAGGCGACGAUCCGUAACUGGUCUGAGAGGAUGAUCAGUCACGCUGGAACUGAGACACGGUCCAGACUCCUACGGGAGGCUGCAGUGGGGAAUAUUGGACAAUGGGCGAAAGCCUGAUCCAGCCAUGCCGCGUGUGUGAAGAAGGUCUUCGGAUUGUAAAGCACUUUAAGUUGGGAGGAAGGGCAGUAAGUUAAUACCUUGCUGUUUUGACGUUACCAACAGAAUAAGCACCGGCUAACUUCGUG
rnacentral:rRNA from 1 species